rnacentral:rRNA from 1 species
AUUGAACGCUGGCGGCAGGCCUAACACAUGCAAGUCGAACGAGUGGCGGACGGGUGAGUAAUGUCUGUGAAACUGCCUGAUGGAGGGGGAUAACUACUGGAAACGGUAGCUAAUACCGCAUACCCUCGGAUGUGCCCAGAUGGGAUUAGCUAGUAGGUGGGGUAAAGGCUCACCUAGGCGACGAUCCCUAGCUGGUCUGAGAGGAUGACCAGCAACACUGGAACUGAGACAGGGUGCAGACUACUACGGGAGGCAGCAGUGGGGAAUAUUGGAAAAGGGGCGGAAGCAUGAGGCAGCAAUGCCGCGUGUAUGAAGAAGGCCUGCGGGUUGUAAAGUACUUUCAGCGGGGAGGCGUUACCCGCAGAAGAAGCACCGGCUAACUCCGUGCCAGCAGCCGCGGUAAUUC